rnacentral:rRNA from 1 species
UACGUAGGGACCGAGCGUUGUCCGGAUUCAUUGGGCGUAAAGAGCUCGUAGGCGGCCACUCAAGUCGAAUGUGAAACCUCGAGGCUUAACCUCGAGCCUGCAUUUGAUACUGGGCGGCUAGAGUCUGGUAGGGGGAUCUGGAAUUCCUGGUGUAGCGGUGAAAUGCGCAGAUAUCAGGAGGAACACCGGUGGCGAAGGCGGGUCUCUGGGCCGUAACUGACGCUGAGGAGCGAAAGCGUGGGGAGCGAACAGG